rnacentral:misc_RNA from 1 species
UUAUUUUGUUAUAAUAAGACUACAUUUGUUACAUAUAAUAGUUUGUAAAAAGGUCAGACGACCCAAGGACCGAAGUCCAGAGAGUCAUCUUACAGUGCACAGGUGUUAUGGAUGUGAAGGGUGCGAGGGGCUUGCCGAAGCAGAGACACCCAGGCGUUUGUAUUCACUAAUGAUCCUUCCGCAGGUUCACCUACGGAAA